GGCACUUUGGCCGAGUGGUCUAAGGCGCCGUGUUCAGGUGUUGCUGUUCUCAGCUCUCCAGUUUCGCGGUCUAGAAAUAGGCGAGGGUUCGAAUCCCUCAGGUGUCA